CUCAUUUCCUCGCCUAAGCGUUCGCUUUAUCAUCAACCUCGAAAAUGGACACUUCCAUACCCCCAAACCUUGACGAAUACUCGGCAUCAGCCACCACCGUCAAAUUCGACCGCCCGAUUCCCCUUCUCCGGGGCCCCAUACCAUCCGGAUCAAAGGAUGACCCUUCAUCUGGCCGGUACGUACUCGCAUUCAAGACUCCGGAAUCCUGGGCAGCUGCCUACCGGUCCUGCAAGUCCAAAAUUAUCGAGCAGUGCGAGGGCGGGACCCGAAUCGGGUGCGCCAUAAGUGCUUCGCACAAGUGUAAGCCUCCCUGGUGGAGCGCUAUCAUUGGCUUGAGAAAGCCCGAGGAUUUGAAGGAGAGAGAGAGGUGCGAGGAGCGCGAGAUGGCGGCGUGUUUGGCUGCAGCGGAAGGGAAGUGUGCUGGCUUUGCGAAGGAAAAGCUGGCGAGACCGUUCAAGGAGGCACGGAUUGCGUCGACGGAGAGGACGAUGCCGGUGGAAGAGAUGAGGAAGAUGGUUAGCUUCGUGUCUGCGCCGGAGAGUGAAUUUGAGAGGAAAAUUUGGAGGAAGAGAUUUCAAGCUGUAUAUGAUAAAUUGAGUCCUGCGAUAAGGAGAAUGUGGGAAAUUUAGUCCAAGUAAAGCUGGUGAGAAAUGGGCAACACAGAGUGCAUUCUGUGUGGUAAAUGAAAUGGUAAGCCGACAACUACUAAGAAUGCACAUACAUCGGUAGGAACUGCUAGCUGAAUGGACUACAACAUAACUGUCGGUGCCUGUCACAAGCAUUUCUUUUACCUGGCAACUGAAGAACUUGUAGGAUCUUGUCCCCAUGAAAACUGCAUCAGCUUUCUGAUAUCAAACCUGCGGUAGGAUCUUAUGUUGCUGCCAUGCUUGUGAGUUGUGACAACUACACUUAUGUCCACCAGCACCUCACAGGCUCACCAUGUCUUCAGGCUCUCUGGGUACAGCACCAGGCUGUUAUCUUCUUCCCUGGCUGCCACCUUCACCUUUGCCAUCUUUGGCAUUCCCAACUUUCUUGUUGGUGAUCUCAAUUGAUUAUAUAUCUUUGUUUUUCCAAUCACAAUUUACGUGAAUUUGAAUCCAUCUGAUGAUUUGUUAUUUAAAGGUUUUGUUAUCUUAAAUUACGAUUUUGUCCCAUUUAAAUGAGCUUUCUUACUUGUUGGGCUAAGAUGAG